CUGAAGUUGGAUUUCCAUGCGUUAGGCAAUGUGUACUUGUCCGAUUGGAUGUUUCAGGUUUAACUUCGCGAUUAAAAAGACACUUGUUGUCCUGAACAAAAUAGAUUGAGCCAGGUCUAUCCAGAGGAAGAAACAACCAGCAUUGGAAAAGCCCGAGACUCGCUGCUAGAUCCACGUGUUAAUUGCUGACACUACGAAUUACAAGAUGACUUCCACCCUCGGCCCAUUGCUGCUCAUUCUGAUGUGCACCAGCGUCCAGCUACACAGUGACUACACAGUGGGUGGCCAAUUGUGCGAGUCUGCGUGCGUGGAGUGGGAGUCAACAUACUACUGCUCCUACCUUGUGGAUGGCGUUCGCAAGAUGUCCAUCUGCACACCUGCCAAAACGGUUUAAGAUUAAAGGGAGGCAGGGUCCCCAGCAAUGUCAGCUAAAAUGAAAAGCAGAUAAAUGGCAGUGUGCAAUUUCUAUUUGGCAAAUCCCCAUUGUGUGUUGGCUUUUUUGCCUGUUCACCUUUGCAUUCUAUGCUGAAAAUGUAACCUUUAUCAGUAAUACUAGAAGCUUUGACCUUUCGUCACAAUCUGGAGGUGUGAUCUCUUUAUCUGUCACUUAUUAUUGUUAAAGCCACUGGCUAUGUUAUACUCUGAUAUUUGUAGCAAUGCUUUGUACCAACGUAGCUUAAAUAUAAGCAUAUGCAUCA